CAGGAAUGAAUCUGUGGAGCAUUUUGAGGAUCACUGCAGCAGCCUGGAGGAGAUGUCUGAGGAUGCUGAAGAAGGAAGAUGGAAAACUCAAGUCUCAUGAACUCACUUUAAUGUCAGAGUGCCUAAAACUCUCUUGUGCUUUGUAGAAUCAACCAGGUUGGAAGAGACCUCCAAGAUUAUUCAGGCCAACCUGUUGCCCUGCCCGAUCAACUAGACCAUGGCACUAAGUGCCUCAUCCAGGCUUUUCUUGAACACCUCCAGGGAUGGUGACUCCACCUCCCUGGGCAGCCCAUUCCAAUGGCCUCCUUAAGCCAGACUAAGCACACACAGAUGAUCAGAUCUUCAAUUUCAUUCCUAAUAUUGUGGGAGUCAGUAUCACUGUGGAAUACAAUAAUUCCUUUUGUAUACCUAAUUUUAGGUCUAAGUAAUUGUUAAGGUUUUAUUUCAUUGUUAAUCACAGCAUAAAAAGAAAGAAGUGGGGAAGAAAAAGUAAAAACCUGUAUGUUUUAUGAUUUUCUUGUGAAGGAUGAUGCAAAAUCAAUAAUCUGUAUCAAUUUUGAUAUCUAGAUGAUUAUUGUUAGUAACAAUGAAAACCUGUGGGAAUGCCAAGUGAAGAAGGAUAAUAACAGGUGGAUGCUGACUUUGGUUCCCACCAGCUGCUGGCUACCUUAUCUCAGAAAGGAUAGAUAACAGACACCUCGUUAAUGAGAAAAACAAGGCAUGGUUUAUGCUGAUGGAGUGGGUUGUCCUUGACUAAUUAUGCUAAUGCAUAGGCAUGUGCCUUUAUGCCCUGAAGGAUAUAUCGAGAGAUGAAAUGAUCAAUAAAGGUCUCUGGCUUAAUUCACAUUGAA